rnacentral:rRNA from 1 species
GAUGAACGCUGGCGGCGUGCCUAAUACAUGCAAGUCGAGCGAACAGACGAGGAGCUUGCUCCUUUGACGUUAGCGGCGGACGGGUGAGUAACACGUAGGUAACCUACCUAUAAGACUGGGAUAACUUCGGGAAACCGGAGCUAAUACCGGAUAAUAUUUCGAACCGCAUGGUUCGAUAGUGAAAGAUGGCUUUGCUAUCACUUAUAGAUGGACCUGCGCCGUAUUAGCUAGUUGGUAAGGUAACGGCUUACCAAGGCAACGAUACGUAGCCGACCUGAGAGGGUGAUCGGCCACACUGGAACUGAGACACGGUCCAGACUCCUACGGGAGGCAGCAGUAGGGAAUCUUCCGCAAUGGGCGAAAGCCUGACGAAGCAACGCCGCGUGAGUGAUGAAGGUCUUCGGAUCGUAAAACUCUGUUAUUAGGGAAGAACAAACGUGUAAGUAACUGUGCACGUCUUGACGGUACCUAAUCAGAAAGCCACGGCUAACUACGUG